rnacentral:rRNA from 1 species
AUUGAACGCUGGCGGCAGGCCUAACACAUGCAAGUCGAACGAGUGGCGGACGGGUGAGUAAUGUCUGGGACACUGCCUGAUGGAGGGGGCUAACUACUGGAAACGGUAGCUAAUACCGCAUACCACCAGAUGUACCUUGAGGGGUUUAGCUUGUUGGUGGGGUAACGGCUCACAAAGGCGACGCUCCCUAGCUGGUCUGAGAGGAUGACCAGCCACACGGGAACUGAGAAACGGUCCAGACUCCUACGGGAGGCAGCAGGGGGGAAUAUUGGACAAUGGGCGCAAGCCUGAUGGAGCCAUGCCGCGUGUAUGAAGAAGGCCUUCGGGUUGGAAAGUACUGUCAGCGGGGAGGCGUUACCCGCAGAAGAAGCACCGGCUAACUCCGUGCCAGCAGCCGCGGUAAUUC